CCUACGGGAGGCAGCAGUGGGGAAUAUUGGACAAUGGGGGGAACCCUGAUCCAGCGACGCCGCGUGAGUGAAGAAGUAUUUCGGUAUGUAAAGCUCUAUCAGCAGGGAAGAAAGAAAUGACGGUACCUGACUAAGAAGCCCCGGCUAACUACGUGCCAGCAGCCGCGGAAAUACGUAGGGGGCAAGCGUUAUCCGGAUUUACUGGGUGUAAAGGGAGCGUAGACGGCGAUGCAAGUCUGAAGUGAAAGGCGGGGGCCCAACCCCCGGACUGCUUUGGAAACUGUAUGGCUGGAGUGCAGGAGAGGUAAGUGGAAUUCCUAGUGUAGCGGUGAAAUGCGUAGAUAUUAGGAGGAACACCAGUGGCGAAGGCGGCCUGCUGGACAUUAACUGACGCUGAGGCGCGAAAGCGUGGGGAGCAAACAGGAUUAGAUACCCCUGUAGUC
rnacentral:rRNA from 1 species